rnacentral:rRNA from 1 species
UCGAGAAUCUUCGGCAAUGGGCGCCAGCCUGACCGAGCGACGCCGCGUGGAGGACGAAGGCCCUCGGGUUGUAAACUCCUGUCGCGGGGGACUAAGGGGCCGCGAAGAGCGGCCCUUGAGGGUUCCCGGGAGGAAGCACGGGCUAAGUUCGUGCCAGCAGCCGCGGUAAGACGAACCGUGCGAACGUUAUUCGGAAUCACUGGGCUUAAAGCGCGUGUAGGCGGGCCGGCACGUCGGUCGCUGAAAUCCCGCGGCUCAACCGCGGAAGUGGCGCCGAAACGACCGGCCUGGAGGGGGGUAGGGGACGCUGGAACUUCCGGUGGAGCGGUGAAAUGCGUUGAGAUCGGAAGGAACGCCCGCGGCGAAAGCGAGCGCCUGGACCCACCCUGACGCUGAGACGCGAAAGCCAGGGGAGCGAACGG